rnacentral:rRNA from 1 species
ACGGAGGAUGCAAGCGUUAUCCGGAUUAAUUGGGUUUAAAGGGUGCGCAGGCGGAAUUAUAAGUCAGUGGUGAAAGCCUAAGGCUCAACGGUAGAAUUGCCAUUGAUACUGUUGUACUUGAGUAUGGAUGAGGUAGGCGGAAUGUGUAGUGUAGCGGUGAAAUGCAUAGAUAUUACACAGAACGCCGAUCGCGAAGGCAGCUUACUAAUUCAUAACUGACGCUGAUGCACGAAAGCGUGGGGAUCAAACAG